CCCUUAGAUGUUCUGGGCCGCACACGCGCUACACUGAAGGAGACAGCGUGUACUCCUGGAUCGAAAGAUUUGGGUAACCCGCGAAUCUCCUUCGUGCUAGGGAUUGAGGUUUGCAAUUAUCCUUCAUGAACGAGGAAUUCCCAGUAAGUGCAAGUCAUAAGCUUGCGCUGACUACGUCCCUGCCCUUUGUACACACCGCCCGUCGCUACUACCGAUUGAAUGAUUUAGUGAGGACUUCGGACUGGGACCGAUGCGGCUUUCGGGCUGCGUCGGUAUUCUGGAAAGAUGUCCAAACUGUAUCAUUUAGAGGAAGUAAAAGUCGUAACA
rnacentral:rRNA from 1 species